CUGAUUUGCAUGCCCCCCAGCUGUGUCCAAGGGGAUAAGAGAGGCCUGGGAGGAGCCCUGCAGCCUGGGCCUCAGGGAGCAGAGUCAGGGCGCCCACCAUGGCCUGGACCCCUCUCCUGCUCGGCCUCCUGGCUCACUGCACAGCCUCUGUGGCCUCCUAUGAGCUGACGCAGCCGCCCUCGGUGUCGGUGAACCCGGGACAGACGGCCAGGCUCACGUGUGGGGGAAACAGCAUUGGAGGGAAAAGUGUCCACUGGUACCAGCAGAAGCCCGGCCAGGCCCCCGUGCUGGUCAUCUAUAAUGAUAACAACCGGCCCUCAGGGAUCCCUGACCGAUUCUCAGGCACCAACUCGGGGAACACGGCCGCCCUGACCAUCAGCGGGGCCCAGGCCCAGGACGAGGCCGACUAUUACUGUCAGGUGUGGGACAGCAGUGAUGAUGCUCACAGUGACUCAGGCGGAUGGGGAAGUGGGACAGAAACCUCCCUGUGUCACCCGCUCCUCCAGCCCCGAGGGCUACAGACCGAGCCCUGAGCACGGCUGCCCGUC